UCGAGAAUAUUCGACAAUGGGCGAAAGCCUGAUCGAGCGACGCCGCGUGCAGGAUGAAGGGCUUCGGCCUGUAAACUGCGGUAGUAGGGUAAGAAUGCAAAUGACUGCCCUACGGAAAGAGGUGGGUAACUACGUGCCAGCACCAGCGGUAAUACGUAGACCUCAAGCGUUAUCCGGAUUUAUUGGGCGUAAAGCGCGUGUAGGAGGCGCGGUGCGUCUCUGGUUAAAGCCCACUGCCUAACGGUGGAAAUGCCAGGGAUACGGCCGCGCUAGAGGAGGUUAGAGGUGCAUGGAACCCACGGUGUAGGGGUGAAAUCCGUUGAUAUCGUGGGGAACACCGAAGGCGAAGGCAGUGCACUGGGGCCUUCCUGACUCUGAGACGCGAAAGCGUGGGGAGCAAAAAGGAUUAGAUACCCCCGUAGUCCCUGAGCGGGCUGGCAAGGCGCAU
rnacentral:rRNA from 1 species